UCAACACUUAGCUCAGUUGGUAGAGCGGAGGACUGUAGAUCCUUAGGUCGCUGGUUCGAAUCCGGCAGGUCGGA